AUUGAACGCUGGCGGCAGGCCUAACACAUGCAAGUAGAGCGGAGCGGCGGACGGGUGAGUAAUGCCUAGGAAUCUGCCUGGUGGUGGGGGAUAACGUCCGGAAACGGGCGCUAAUACCGCAUAAUAUCAGAGCAGCAUAGGACGGAUUAGCUAGUUGGUGGGGUACAGGCCUACCAAGGCGACGAUCCGUAACUGGUCUGAGAGGGGGAUCAGUCACACUGUAACUGAGGCACGGUCCAGACUCCUACGGGAGGCAGCAGUGGGGAAUAUUGGACAAUGGGGGAAAGCCUGAUCCAGACAUGCCGCGUGUGUUAAGAAGGUCUUCGGAUUGUAAAGCACUUUAAGUUGGGAGGCGUUACCAACAGAAUAAGCACCGGCUAACUUCGUGCCAGCAGCCGCGGUAAUUC
rnacentral:rRNA from 1 species